UUACCCAAUCCUAAUACAGGGAGGUAGUGACAAGAAAUAACAAUACAGGACUUUUUGGUUUUGUAAUUGGAAUGAGUUAAGUAUAAACCCCUUUACAAGUAUCAAUUGGAGGGCAAGUCUGGUGCCAGCAGCCGCGGUAAUUCCAGCUCCAAUAGCGUAUAUUAAAGUUGUUGCAGUUAAAAAGCUCGUAGUUGGAUUUCUGUUAAUAAUUUAUAUAAAAUAUUUUGAUGAAUAUUUAUAUAAUAUUAACAUAAUUCAU
rnacentral:rRNA from 1 species